AAUUUGUUUAUAUUAAUAAUUUAUUUAUAUAAUAAUUUACUUUUGCCUUUAUUUUUAACUCAUAGUUAUUUUUUAAAAAUCUGUUGUCACGUUUUUUUUUAAUUGGUUAUUUUUAUCAAGUCACGCGAGUGUGUUGCAUUCUAUAUCUUUUGCUGAUUGUCCAAAAAAGGCCUAAAUGGAUAAAAAUUCGGGUGAGUUAGAGGCCUGAUAGGUACAGGUCUGAGUUGAAGGGUUUAAGUAAAAUUUUAGGACAACUUAAAGGGGCUACCGAUGACUUAAACCUACAAUAAUUAACAACUUAGAUAUUUAUAGGUUUAAGUCAUCGAUAGCCUCUUAAACUUGUUUCAAAAUUUCACAAUUUAGUCUUGAACCUAUUGAACACCCAAAUAAUUCAAAUGUAUACCUAUUAGGCACAAAUUACUGGUGUGGCAAAAAAAGUGUAAAUUAGGCGCGUGUUGAGUAUCAAUUAAUAUUUUAUUUUUAUUUUUAUUAAAAAAAUUAUACUUAAAUUAUUUUAUUAAUAUAUUCUUUAAUAAAUAAUAAUUUCUUAAUUUUUUAAAGAAAAAAGUGUCCCCCCAACCCAUCGUCUUCACGUCCCCCUCCCCUCCCCCAAUUUAAGUAACGAUAUUUGGAAAACGGAGGUUCAAUUCCGGCGAUCUUUGACUCCACCAAUUUUGAAUUUGGCUGUACUAAUUAUGUAGUCUUUGACUCUAACAUUUCUCUAAUCCCUGCAAUUCGGCUGUACCAAUACUUCAUCAAUUUCGGGCGGCGAUUUCACAGUUGACGCCAUCCAAUUUCGAUGCAAAUCUUUGUUGUUGUGGACGCGCCGCCGCCGCCGCCGCCACCUUUCCCGCCGCCUCGUCCAGUCUCUCAGGUUGCCCAGAACUUGCAAGACCUUGAGUUCUACAAAUCACCUUUCACAUCACUCUGAAAUUUGAACAAUAAUUAGCUUGUUAAAAAAUCUAAUGAGAUGCAUACCAUAUUGAGAAAAGUUUCUGUAUUUUCUGCCUGAAAUUUUGUCUAUCCAGAAUCUUAAUAGGUAGAAAGCUUCCACGUUAUGAAUAGGUAGAGUCCAAUUGUAGGGAGUUCCAAGGAAGAAGAAGGGAGAUUCCGUGUGGGUGGGUUGGAAGGGGAGCGUGGGAAGUUAGG
rnacentral:lncRNA from 1 species